UUUCCGUAGGUGAACCUGCGGAAGGAUCAUUAUGAAUGAAAAACGCAUAACUUCAGGGAAGAAGGGAACCUGCACGGUGACCUCCCCUGUCGGGCCACCCAAUACCUUCAAAAUGCCGCCGUCCUAGCGGUGGCAGACGAAAAAAAAACAAGAAAAACAAAAUAGAAACAGGCACGGUGGCCCGUUCACCUUCACACAACCCUCCGAGUACCGCUUCCAUGUUGCUUCCCCGCAAAUCCACCUCUUUGGUGAGCGCGGGGGAGGUCCGCAUCAAAUUCACCUGAAUGUCACAGCAGUCAGACAGCCAUUCAUGGAAACAAUAAAACUUUCAACAACGGAUCUCUUGGUUCCC
rnacentral:misc_RNA from 1 species